AGAGUUUGAUCAUGGCUCAGGAUGAACGCUGGCGGCGUGCUUAACACAUGCAAGUCGAACGAGAGCCAAUGGAACAAGGAUUCGUCUGAGGGAAGUUGGGGAAAGUGGCGGACGGGUGAGUAACGCGUGAGCAAUCUGCCUUGGAGUGGGGAAUAACGGCUGGAAACAGCCGCUAAUACCGCAUGAUGCAUUUGGACCGCAUGGUCUGGGUGCCAAAGAUUUAUCGCUCUGAGAUGAGCUCGCGUCUGAUUAGCUGGUUGGCGGGGUAACGGCCCACCAAGGCGACGAUCAGUAGCCGGACUGAGAGGUUGGCCGGCCACAUUGGGACUGAGACACGGCCCAGACUCCUACGGGAGGCAGCAGUGGGGAAUAUUGGGCAAUGGGCGCAAGCCUGACCCAGCAACGCCGCGUGAAGGAAGAAGGCUUUCGGGUUGUAAACUUCUUUUCUGAAGGACGAAGGAAGUGACGGUACCUCAGGAAUAAGCCACGGCUAACUACGUGCCAGCAGCCGCGGUAAUACG
rnacentral:rRNA from 1 species